GGGUCCGUAGCUUAGUCCGGUUGGAGCGCCCGACUGAUAAUCGGGAGGUCUUGCGUUCAAAUCGCAACGGGCCCA
rnacentral:tRNA from 1 species